rnacentral:rRNA from 1 species
UACAGAGGUCCCAAGCGUUGUUCGGAUUCAUUGGGCGUAAAGGGUGCGUAGGCGGUGAUGUAAGUUGGAUGUGAAAUCCCGGGGCUUAACCCCGGAACUGCAUUCAAUACUGCAUUGCUAGAGUACUGGAGAGGAGAUUGGAAUUCACGGUGUAGCAGUGAAAUGCGUAGAUAUCGUGAGGAAGACCAGUGGCGAAGGCGAAUCUCUGGACAGUAACUGACGCUGAGGCACGAAGGCUAGGGGAGCAAACGGG